rnacentral:rRNA from 1 species
UGAGGAAUAUUGGUCAAUGGACGCAAGUCUGAACCAGCCACGUCGCGUGAAGGAAGACGGCCCUAUGGGUUGUAAACUUCUUUUGUAAGGGAAUAAAAGGAGUCACGAGUGACUUAUUGCAUGUACCUUACGAAUAAGGAUCGGCUAACUCCGUGCCAGCAGCCGCGGUAAUACGGAGGAUCCGAGCGUUAUCCGGAUUUAUUGGGUUUAAAGGGUGCGCAGGCGGGAGAUUAAGUCGGCGGUGAAAUUUUGCAGCUUAACUGUAAAAGUGCCAUCGAUACUGGUUUUCUUGAGUGUGGAUGAAGUAGGCGGAAUUUGUGGUGUAGCGGUGAAAUGCAUAGAUAUCACAAGGAACACCGAUUGCGCAGGCAGCUUACUAAACCAUAACUGACGCUCAGGCACGAAGGCGUGGGGAUCAAACAGGAUUAGAUACCCUGGUAGUCCACGCAGUAAACGAUGAUUACUGGCUGUUUGCGAUAUACAGUAAGCGGCUGAGCGAAAGCGUUAAGUAWUCCA